UGGGGAAUAUUGGACAAUGGGCGAAAGCCUGAUCCAGCCAUGCCGCGUGUGUGAAGAAAGGUCUUCGGAUUGUAAAGCACUUUAAGUUGGGAGGAAGGGCAGUAAGUUAGGUACCUUAGCUGUUUUGACGUUACCGACAGAAUAAGCACCGGCUAUACUCUGUGC
rnacentral:rRNA from 1 species